UACGAAGGGGGGCUAGCGUUGCUCGGAAUGACUGGGCGUAAAGGGCGCGUAGGCGGAUUGUACAGUCAGGCGUGAAAUUCCCGGGCUCAACCUGGGGGCUGCGCUUGAGACGUGCGAUCUUGAGUGGGGAAGAGGGUCGUGGAAUUCCCAGUGUAGAGGUGAAAUUCGUAGAUAUUGGGAAGAACACCGGUGGCGAAGGCGGCGACCUGGUCCUUGACUGACGGCUGAGGCGCGAAAGCGUGGGGAGCAAACAGG
rnacentral:rRNA from 1 species